UCCGGGGUAGCUCAAUCAGGCAGAGCACGCGACUGUUAAUCGCGGGGUUGUGGGUUCGAGUCCCACCCCCGGAG
rnacentral:tRNA from 1 species